GGAUAGCUCAGCUGGUUACAGCGUGGUGCUGAUGAUGCCAAAGUUGUGGGUUCGAGUCCCCUGUGGAGCA